UGCUUUUGGUGUUUUGGUCAUGAAGUCCUUGCCUACGCCUAUGUCCUGAAUGGUUUUGCCUAGGUUUUCUUCUAGGGUUUUUAAUGGUGUUAGGUCUUAUGUUUAAGUCUUUAAUCCACCAGAUGAGCAUUUCUUAUAAGAUAGGUCUAGUGUUGAAGUCCCUCAGCUUUUGUUUUUCUGUGAAAAUCUUUAUUUGAGGGAUAUUUUUAUACUAUUCUAAGAUAAAAGAUUUUUCUUAAGCACUUUAAAUAUUUCAUGUUCUGUAAAGUUUCCACUGAGAAGUCUUCUGCCAGAUAUAUUGGAGCUCCAUUGUAUGUUGUUUCUUUUCUCUUGCUACUUUUAGGAUCUUUUUGCUUAAUCUUUUGGAGUUCGAUUAUUUAGUGCUUUGAGGUAGCCUAAUUUGGGUUAAAUCUCCUUGAUGUUCUGUAACCUUCUUAUAUGUUCAUAUUGAUCUCUUUCUAUGUUGUUAUACCUUUGAAUAAACUUCAUACCUUCACCUCACUAUUUUCUUUUUAAGAACAGUGACUCUUGGAGUUACCCUUUUGAGGGUAUUUUGUAGGUCUUGUAGGCUUGCUAAUUUCUUUCUUACUCUUUUUUAUCUCCUCUGACUCUGUAUUUUUAAAUAGUCUGUCUUCAUGCUCACUCACUGUAUCUUCUGCGUAAUAAAUUGUGCUGUUGAGAGACCCUGAUGUAUAUCAUCAUAUCAAUGGACUUUUCGACUCUAGAAUUUCUCCUUAACUUUAUUAAAUUUGUGCAGUCUGUUAACUUUAUUUAAUAGGAAUCUGAAUUUCGUCUCUGUUAUCUUCAGUUUCAUUGAGCUAACUCAAAAAUAGCUAUUUUGAAUACUGUAUCUUAAAAGCCACAUAUCUCUGUCAUUCCAAUAUUUAUCAUUUUUGCCUUAUUUAGUUUCUUUGGUGAGGUCAUCUUUUCCUGGAUGUUCUUAAUGCUUAUGGAUGUUCGCUGAUUUUUGGUCAUUAAAAGUUACGUAUUUUUUGUAGUCCUUGCAGUGUGGGCUUCUUUGUAUGCAUUCUUCUUAGUAAGGUUUUCUAAGUAUUCAAUGGGAACGGACUGUUGUGAUCUAAGUCUCUAGUUGCUGCAGCAGUAUCUGCAUUAGGUGGUACCCCAAGCCUAGUAAUGUUGUGACUCUUGCAGACUUAUAAGUAGAGAUCUGCCUUGCUGGUCUUGGUAAGAUCCAAGAGAAUUCCCUGGAUUACCAGGCAGAAUCUCUUGUUUUCUACCCUUUCCCCUAAAUGGGGUCUGUUUGUGUUGAGCUGCAUGGGGCUGGGAUAAAGAUGACACAAAGCACCACUGUGGCCACUACCACUGGGACUAUACUGGGUCAGAACCAAAGCCACCACAACACUGGGUCUUGCCUAAGGCCAACAGUGACCACCGCCUGGCUACUGCUGAUGUUUACUCAAGGCCUAAGGGCUCCCCGGUAGGUGUCAGUCAAUAGUUGACAAAUUUAGCCAGGCUUGUUGCCUUCCCUUGAGGGUGGCAAGCUACCCCCUGGGCCAGGGCCUGGAGUCAGGAGCCUUAGGUAUCUACUUGAUGCUCUAUUCUAUUGGGGCUGAAUUAGCACUCAAGCCGCAAGUCCUUCCCACUCUUCUCUCACCUUUCUUCAUGAUAAGAUGUCUUCCUGUGUCAUCCACCGCCCCAGGACUGUAAUUAGUAUUGCUGGGAUACUGCUGAUGUUCACUCAAGUUUCAAGGGCUCUUUAGUCAUCUUGUGGUGAAUACUGCCAGGCCUGGGUCUCUCCUUUUAGGGUAGUGAGGUCCCUUCAGGCCCAGGGCUCGUCUAGAAAUGGCAUCCCAGAGCCAAGGCCUGGAAUUGAGGACCCCAGGAGCCCAUAUGAUACUCUGUCCUAGGAAAGAAGUAGUUUUAGAAACUUUAAGUUAAGGUCAUCAAAAUAUGCUUUUAUCAAGUAAUUAUAAUCAAAUCAGUUCUGGUAAGGUCCUGUAGCAUUGCAGUAUCAUUGCAAAAAUAUGUUUUGGGAUCUCUGACAUCCCAUUAUUUUGGGUGCUAGUCUUACUAGAGUGUGAUUCUUAUGAGAGGAGAGAUCAUAUAUAACUUCAUAAUUAACAUUUUCUUUUAUUAUCAUUGUAGCCAAAAAUCACAGUAAUAUAAUUUAUCCAUAUUAUGCCUUUAUUUGAGACUAAAAAUUAAAGACAGGGUUUUGUUUUAUUUAGAGAUUCUCAGAAUUGAAUAAACUAUCAGGCAGAUACAUCAAGUCAAUAUGUUAUAUGAAAGAAUUGGAAAUGAAUAAUGAAUAAUUAUAUUUAGCUUUCCUAUGUAUUUUCCUGAAAAGAAUGCAAGUAAGGUUUACAAACAGAAAACAAUUGUUGAAGAUCUUUUCACUUAGAGUUGAUAUUAUUUUUCAGACUGACUUUGGGGAGUCCAUUCCUCUUAGGCUGUUAGCACAUUUUUAUUAAGUAACUUUCGUUAUUUUAACAUCUUUCAUUGUAGGGUGGGCUGCGAAGGUUUCUCUGACAAAGUAUUAGUGUAUUUUAAUGAGUUUGAUGCCACCAAACUUAAGGUGCACCAUAUAAUUAUAUGCUUUAUUAACUAUUCAAGUUCGUAUCAGCUGUAAAACACAUGCUUGUUUCAGAGAUGUAAAAAUGUGUGUGUUGGGGGAGUUUUUAUAAUGAGUGAAAUGGGGAAUUUGAGAAGCCAUGCUAUUUAGAGGAAGUGGUGACCAGAUAAGAAGGCACAUUAGUUGUAAAGGCCAACGAUGACUAGUUAAAGAAGGCCAGUAUGGUUGGAGCAGAGUAGACGGGGAAAAGGAAAGUUGUAGUGAGGUCUGGUUGUGGAGAGCCUUGCGGAUCAUCCUUAAGGACUUGGACUUUAAUGCUGAGUGAGAUGGGAAGUUACUGGAGGUUUGAACAGAGGAGUGAUUUGAUCCUUGCAACAGGAUCACUUGGGCUGCUGUGUUAAGAAUAGAUUGUAGGAGCCAGGGAUGGAAGCAGGAAAAUAGAAUCAGGCAGCCUUUGAAGGCUGUUGCACGUAAUCCAGAUGAGAAAUGGUGGUGGCUUGGAUCAGAGUUACAGUGGUAGAGAUUAUGAAAAGCACUUGGAUUCUGGAUUUCUUUCGAAGGCAGAACUGACAAGAUUUGCAGAUUUGCUAAUGAAUUCCUAUGGAGUAUGAGAGAAAUAAUGAAUCAGAUGAUUCAGGUCUAAGCACCUGUAUUGUUACCAUUUAGAGAAAUGUGGAAUCCUACAGGAGAAGUUGAGGAAGGCAAAUCAGAUGAUCAGUUUUGGAUUAUGUUGAGAAGCCUCUUAGGCAUUACAAGAAGAUAAUAGAGCAACUAAGAAAAAGUCUAGAGACGAGGGUAGAGGGCCCAGUUGGAGUUAUAUGCAUGUGUGCACAUGAGUGUAUGUAUAACGUAGGGCAUGUAUGUGUGAGAGUUUAUCAUUUGAUUCUUGCAUUUUUGACUGUUGCUUCAGAAUUCCAUUUUUCCCCUUCUGUUUUCUGUGAUUUUAUCAUUAGAGGUUUUCUCCAAAUGUCUGAGCUUUGGCUGUCCUUAGCAAUGAGGUAUAAGGAGAGAUUAAGCAGCUGGCUUCUAUAAAGGACUUUUGUGAAGGAAGAAAGAGUAGAGUUAACCAAUGGUCUAUUUUUAAGUAUAAUUUUUAUUUUUUAACUUUUUAUUUUGAAAUCAUUUUACAUAGAAGAGUUGCAAAAAUAAUGUAGGUAACUCUUAUAAGUACCUAAGUUCAGAAAAUUAUGUAAAUGAUGUAGUGUUUUUCUCAGGGUAUCACAUCAGAGACAUAGAUAGUGUUGAUCCCUCAUUUGACAUUAAUUUCAAUAAUUCAGCAAAGGACCAAGGGUUGUCUAGUUUUUCUGCUUUGUAGUUUCUGUAUCCUUGAAACUAGAAGGUAAGAUCCAUGGAAGAUACAUUAAAACUGUGUAAACAGUAAGAUACCAUCUCACACCUGUCAGAAUGGCUAUUAUUAAAAAGUGAAAGAAACAACAGAUGCUGAGGUUGCAGAGAAAAGGGAACACUUGUAUAUUGUUGGUGGGACUGUAAAUUAGUUCAACCCUUGUGGAAAGCAGUAUGGUGAUUUCUCACAGAGCUAAAAGCGAAACUACCAUUGAACCGAGCAGUCUUAUUAUUGGGUAUAUACGCAGAGGAAUAUAAAUCCUUCUACCAUAAAGACAUAUGUACUUGAAUGUUCAUUGCAGCACUGUUCACAAUUAAAAAAAGAAAAAGACAUGGAGUCAACCUAAAUGUCCAUCAGUGACAGUUUGGAUAAAGAAAAUGUGGUAUAUAGACACCAUGGAAUACUCUGCAGCCAUAAAAAGAAUGAGAUCAUGUGUUUUGCAGGAAUGUGGAUGGAGCUAGAGACCGUUAUCCUUAGCAUAGUAAUGCAGAAACAG